rnacentral:rRNA from 1 species
UACGAGGGGUCCUAGCGUUGUUCGGAAUCAUUGGGCGUAAAGAGCUCGUAGGUGGCUUAGUAAGUCAGGUGUGAAAGCCCAAGGCUCAACCUUGGAAGUGCACUUGAAACUGCAUAGCUUGAGUACGGUAGAGGUGAGUGGAAUUCCUGGUGUAGUGGUGAAAUACGUAGAUAUCAGGAGGAACAUCAGUGGCGAAGGCGGCUCACUGGACCAGUACUGACACUGAGGAGCGAAAGCAUGGGGAU